AUGAGUACAUUUUUGACAUUUACAAAAAUUUCAAGUAUCACACAGUCUACAAUUUAUCAUGUCAAUGGAUCUAAUCUAUGGUCAAUAGUACAGACUAUCCUAAAGUACAACCACCACUCUACUAGAUCAAGAAAAAUGUUGCCAUUUAAAUUGAACAACAUUUUUAGCAAUUGGACAAAAAAAAGUAACAUUUUAAUAAAUAUCAGAUACAAAAAGAAUUGUCUGGAUACUUUAGAUAGAUCAAUAUUACAAACAUGGACAGAGAAAUAUACUAUCAACUCUGUCCUUCAAAGUUUAGUUUCUAAGCAAAAAACAAAACAGAAAAGAUCAGCAAUAAGCACAAUAAAAGAAGCACAACACAUAAAAUGA